rnacentral:rRNA from 1 species
GGGCCCGCACAAGCGGUGGAGCAUGUGGCUUAAUUCGAGGCAACGCGAAGAACCUUACCUGGUCUUGACAUGCCCGUCAUAGUUUUCCGAAAGGAAUUCGUCAGUUCGGCUGGACGGUGCACAGGUGCUGCAUGGCUGUCGUCAGCUCGUGUCGUGAGAUGUUCGGUUAAGUCCGGCAACGAGCGCAACCCUCGUUUCCAGUUGCCAGCGGGUAAUGCCGGGGACUCUGGAAAGACAAACCUCUUGUUGAGGUGGGAAGGUGGGGACGACGUCAAGUCAGUAUGGCCCUUACGACCAGGGCUGCACACGUGCUACAAUGCCCGGUACAAUGGGAUGCAAAAUCGCGAGAUUGAGCCAAUCCAUAAAGCCGGGCCUUGUACACACCGCCCGUCAAGUCACGAAAGUCGAUAACACCCGAAGCCGGUG